GCGGUUGUGGCGAAGUGGUUAACGCACCUGAUUGUGGUUCAGGCAUUCGUGGGUUCGAUUCCCAUCAGUCGCCCCU
rnacentral:tRNA from 2 species